rnacentral:rRNA from 1 species
UACGGAGGGGGGCUAGCGUUGUUCGGAAUUACUGGGCGUAAAGCGCACGUAGGCGGCUUUGUAAGUUAGAGGUGAAAGCCCGGGGCUCAACUCCAGAACUGCCUUCGAUACUGGAGAGCUUGAGUCCGGGAGAGGUGGGUGGAACUGCGAGUGUAGAGGUGAAAUUCGUAGAUAUUCGGAAGAACACCAGUGGCGAAGGCGGCUCACUGGACCGGUAUUGACGCUGAGGUGCGAAAGCGUGGGGAGCAAACAGG